rnacentral:snRNA from 1 species
AUCGCUUCUCGGCCUUUUGGCUAAGAUCAAGUGUGUAGUAUCUGUUCUUAUCAGCUUAUGGAGCCUAGUCGGGUUUGUAACCCGCUAAGCCACAACGGGAACUCCCUUAUUUUAUUUUUUAAAUUAAAUUAAAUUAAAUUAAAUUAAAUUAAAUUAAAUUUCUUUAUGGUUGCAUCUGUGGCAUAUGGAAGCACCUG